rnacentral:misc_RNA from 1 species
GACAGAGGUGCCGAGCGUUAGGCGGAAUUACUGGGCGUAAAGGGCGCGUAGGCGGAACAUCAAGUUAGGGGUGAAAGGCCCGGGCUCAACCUGGGAACGGCCUCUAAAACUGAUGAUCUUGGGUCCGGAAGAGGAUGGCGGAAUUCCCAGUGUAGAGGUGAAAUUCGUAGAUAUUGGGAAGAACACCGGUGGCGAAGGCGGCCAUCUGGUCCGGGACUGACGCUGAGGCGCGAAAGCGUGGGGAGCAAACAGG